UCAAGGACGCAAACCAAAUUCAGGUCUCGCGAGGAGAUAACUGCGCCAUCAAAAUCGGAAACCUCCCCCAUCCCCCAGUUCCCUUCCUCGUUUCGUAGGAUCUUAUCUUGAGAAGAUCGAUCAUGGCCUGCCUUCCCUCCUGAACCUCAUAGCUGACCCAGCCGAUUCAUUGAUGUUGAGGGCACAAGAGGCAUGUCUUGUUCAGCAACUGGGACGGAGAGCAGAUCAAUCACCACCCCCGAUUCAUGAAAACAGAAGUGCACACCAAGUGUUUGAUAGUUGUCCUCUGUUAUUGGUUUAAAAUUUUUGGGGCCUUCAGAUAGAGGGGGUUGUUUCCUGAUUCUUUUUCUAUAAGGUUUACUGGACAUAAGAGGUGGCUUAAAUCUGGUAACUGUUAGGGUGUCAGGUGUGGAUGCGUACAAUAUUUUAAUCUAGUUCUGCACCAUUACUACCUUGGUGUUGGCUAUUGUCGAGACCACCAAAACAACAAAUGGUGCUAAUGCAUGCAAUAAGAGUGCUCGAAGUGGUUCGCUAAGUUGGAUGGAUGCCAAUGAACAACUUGCAAGAACUAAAGUAUUCUCGAAGAGCCUAAAAAAUCAUAACAUGGGCGUAGCUCUAGCUACAAUGAUUCAAAAGAUAAAUGGAUGAGUAUAUGGGAGCGUGGUGAUUAUACUGCAAUGAUAAUGUCGAUGUUCCGUUUCAUGAUGAUGAUGGAUGCUUUUAGUUUUAAUUAUGUUGUAGGGAUGAUGUUCUCUCAGUUAAGAUGCACUACUAGGGAAAACCCUAUACACAGAACUUUAGCAGUAGCGUGGGUCAAAAAAGCACGCUGGUGCUAAUUAGCAGUAGCGCGCCUGAGGUAAC